CGAUGGUUCAUUCAAAUUUCUGCCCUAUCAACUUUCGAUGGUAAGAUAGAGGCUUACCAUGGUGUCGACGGGUAACGGGGAAUUAGGGUUCGAUUCCGGAGAGGGAGCCUGAGAAACGGCUACCACAUCCAAGGAAGGCAGCAGGCGCGCAAAUUACCCAAUCCCAAUACGGGGAGGUAGUGACAAUAAAUACUGAUGUUGAGCUCUUUUGGGUUUAACAAUUGGAAUGAGUACAAUCUAAAUCCCUUAGAAACCUCUUGGGGGAUUAAAAAUGAGUCCCUAACUUUAGGGGCCACGCCCUCUCUAUUCGAGGAUCCUUUACCCAAGGUGAUUCGAAGCCUAUUCAGGUUCAGAGACUACACAAGGGUGGGUGAUGAAAAUCAUUAAUGGCAUAGUCCAAACUGUUCAGAUUUUGAACAGUAUCCAUGUAACGAGGAACAAUUGGAGGGCAAGUCUGGUGGAGUUUACUCCCUGCAUAUGAGUAUUUACUCUCUGCUGACGCCAGACAUACGUGAGGCUCUAAUGGGCUUCACUUAGUGAGUGGAAUCUGCUUGCAAGGUGGGUCCGGGCACGGGGGAAAAGCUA
rnacentral:rRNA from 1 species